UCAUAGGUGAUGUAAAACCAUGUGUUCAUGU
rnacentral:piRNA from 1 species